GGAGAAGUGCCAGAGUGGUCGAAUGGGACUGACUCGAAAUCAGUUGACGGGGUAACUCGUCCGGGGGUUCGAAUCCCUCCUUCUCCG
rnacentral:tRNA from 1 species